rnacentral:rRNA from 1 species
UCGGGAAUUUUGGGCAAUGGGCGAAAGCCUGACCCAGCAACGCCGCGUGAGGGAUGAAGUAUUUCGGCAUGUAAACCUCGAAAGAAUGGGAAGAAUAAAUGACGGUACCAUUUAUAAGCUCCGGCUAACUACGUGCCAGCAGCCGCGGUAAUACGUAGGGAGCAAGCGUUGUUCGGAUUUACUGGGCGUAAAGGGCGCGUAGGCGGCGCGGUAAGUCACUUGUGAAAUCUCUGAGCUUAACUCAGAACGGCCAAGUGAUACUGCUGUGCUAGAGUGCGGAAGAGGCAACCGGAAUUCUUGGUGUAGCGGUGAAAUGCGUAGAUAUGACAUAGAACACCAAUUGCGAAGGCAGCUUACUACACAAUCAUUGACGCUGAGGCACGAAAGCGUGGGGAUCAAACA